rnacentral:piRNA from 1 species
UGCAAAAUGUAUUGAUGUUUAAUGUCUCA